AUCCCAGAAUCACAAAAUCACAGAAUUGCAGAAAUUGAAAGGAACCUCAAGAGAUCAUUGAGUCCAACUCCUCCACUAAAGCUGGCAUUCUACAAUAGAUCACACGGAGUCACAGAACUACAGAAUUGCAGGAGUUGGAAAGGAACCUGGGAGAUCAUCUAGAUCAAUUCCACUGCUAAAGCAGGUUGCCUACGUAGGUUGCACAGGAAAGCAUUCAGGGCAGAAAGCAAAUGGCUGCAUGUGUCUCAGCUGCCUGCUGGGGUUGAUAUACAGAAACAGUGCAAACUGGAAGAAUGUAAAUAGUUAUUUAUGUUAAUAUUUAUGAAUCUGUUACUUGUCCUGAAGAAAUUUCUCAUUUAUCUACUUGACUUCUACAAAACUUCCAAAAAGCUGCAGUCAUCUCUGGCCAAAUAUUCGCAACUGAUUUCAAGAUAAUAGAUGAAAUAAAUGAAGAGAUGAAUCUACAAAAAUAUAUUGGACAAGAAAAAGCAUAUACGUUACCAUAUCUGAAGCCACUGCUAUAAAGGAUUAUAGAAAAAUGAAGAAAGAAUUCUCAUGAAAACAAUGUUUGAUUGACUGCUGUUUCUCCGAUGUUUUUAGAAAAAAGG